AGAAGCCAGCAAGUAACCCAAAAAUGGUGGGAGCAGCCAACAACCAGCCGAUACGGGAUGACGAAGAGGAGCCAAAUAUGUUUAUUCCGAUUAUUAACCAGCGCCAUUAAUUUAAUUCAACACGCUGCCAUUCCUUAUAAAAACAUUAGCGAUGUAUUGUUUCCGACUGACUAUUGUGGAGUUAAUGGAUUUAAGAUUAAAACUUUCGGAAAAAUA